ensembl:lncRNA
UUUUUUUUUUUUUUUGUAGAUAUUGACAAACAUUCCUAAAUUAAUAUAAAAAGGCAAAGAAAUGAAAGUAACCAAAAUAAUGUUUAAAAAGGAAAGAACUGGAGGGUUCACACUACCUGAUUUUAAGGCAGUAUAUGUCUACAAAAUAGUGUAGUAUUUGUAAAACAAUAGAAAGAUCAGAGGCACAAAACAGAGAAUAUAGAAAGAGACUCCUACAAAUAUAGCCAAGUGAUUACUGAAAAGUUGCAAAAGCAAUUCAAUCAAGAAAGGAUUGUCUUUUCAAUAAAUGGUGUUAGAAGAAUUGGACAUCCCAUGUGCAAAAACCAAUAAGCCAACGAAUAAAAAAGUCACCAUACAUAGCUCCCACCUAAAAAAUAGUAAGAAUUCAAAAUGAACCAAAUACUUAAGUGUAAAAUGUAAAACCUUAAAACUUAUAAAGCAAAACACAAUUCUUUGUAAACUUGGCUAGUCAAAAGAGUUCUUAGAUAUACCAAAAACAUGAUCUCUAAAAGAAAAAGUUGAUAAAUUAAACUCCACAAACUUCAAAGACAUUUACUCUGUGACAGAAACUACUAAGAGAAUGAAAAGACAAGCCAUAGAUGGGGAGGAAAUAUUCAGAAAACUUAUCUGACAAAGACAUUGUAUCUAGAACAUUGAAAGAACUCUCAAAACUGAACAAUAUAAAAGCAAACAAACCAUUUAAAAAUGAGCAAAAAUUUUGAGCACUUUACUACAAAUGAUAGACGGAUAGAAGAAAAGCACAAAAGUAGAUGCUCACCAUCAUUAGUCACUAGGAAAGUCCAAAUGACAAUCUUGUAUUAUUGGCUACAAUUUGUUCCUGUGCAGAGACUGUGUGAGAUAGCUUCAACAGCUCGGUCCUUUUCCUCCCCUCGUUAUAGUGCAUUCACUUCUGACAUUAUGUUGAAGGCCUGUCCCCAAAGAUAAAGCCUCGGAUCGAUUCAAGUUAUCGUUUUCUCAGCAUUGUAGGGACCAUUUGUGAAUUGCACUCUGUUUGCUAAUCUUUAUCUGCAUGUGGCCUGAGAUGAGCAGGUGAGCAGGCAUGUCAGCCCCUCCCUGGGUCCUCCUGGGCCUCGAGUUACAAAAGGUGGAAAACACAGUUGCAUGGGCAUUAUGAUAAUACAGGUGUUUGUAUGUGCAUCUCAAAACCUUCAUCACCUUACGCCAUUGUAUAAGGUUAGUAUUAGGAGGGACACAUUGGGACUGUGACUUAUUAUUGUAUUUAUAACAGUAUUUUGAGUACAUUAGAAACUUAAUAAAUACAACUACUAGGAUGGCUUUAAGAUUCAUGCCAUGUCUUUUCCUUUCUCCACCGAAUACUCUUCUCUUUAAGGUUAGGGCAGCUGACAUCUGCAAACUCUAGAUUCAAGGUCUUGUGCUUCAAACAAGACCUUAAGGAAAUUACGGAACUAACAUAGCCUUUUUGCUUUCUUCUGUAAAAUAGGAUCAUGCUACCCAGACUACAGGGGAACUGUUAGGAAUGAAAAACAAAACAGGCCAGGCAUGGUGGUUCACGUCUGUAAUCCUAGCACUUUGGGAGGCUGAGGCAAGAGGAUUGCUUGAGCUCAGGAGUUCAAUACCAGACUGGGCAACUUGGCAAAAACCCAUCUCUACUAAAAAUACAAAAAACAAAUUAGCCAAGCAUGGUGGCACACACCUGUACUCCCAGGUACUCAGGAGGCUGAGAGGAGAGAGUUGCUUGAGCCUGG